rnacentral:misc_RNA from 1 species
GAUGAAGAACGUAGCGAAAUGCGAUAAGUAAUGUGAAUUGCAGAAUUCAGUGAAUCAUCGAAUCUUUGAACGCACAUUGCGCCCGCCAGUAUUCUGGCGGGCAUGCCUGUCCGAGCGUCAUUUCAACCCUCGGGCCCCCCUCUGCGGGCGGCCCGGCGUUGGGGCUCAGGCGCCGUCUCUGCUCGGCGCCUGUCCCCUAAAUGCAGUGGCGGCCUCGCCGCUGCCUCCUCCGCGUAGUAGCACAAACCUCGCGGCUGGAAGGCGGCGCGGCCACGCCGUAAAACCCCCCAACUUUACCAAGGUUGACCUCGGAUCAGGUAGGAAUACCCGCUGAACUUAAGCAUAUCAAUAAGCGGAGGA